rnacentral:rRNA from 1 species
UGGGGAAUAUUGCACAAUGGGCGCAAGCCUGAUGCAGCCAUGCCGCGUGUAUGAAGAAGGCCUUCGGGUUGUAAAGUACUUUCAGCGGGGAGGAAGGGAGUAAAGUUAAUACCUUUGCUCAUUGACGUUACCCGCAGAAGAAGCACCGGCUAACCCCGUGCCAGCAGCCGCGGUAAUACGGAGGGUGCAAGCGUUAAUCGGAAUUACUGGGCGUAAAGCGCACGCAGGCGGUUUGUUAAGUCAGAUGUGAAAGCCUCGGGCUCAACCUGGGAACUGCAUAUGAUACUGGCAAGCUUGAGUAUCGUAGAGGGGGGGAGAAUUCCAGGGGUGGCGGUGAAAUGCGUAGAGAUCUGGAGGAAUACCGGUGGCGAAGGCGGCCCCCUGGACGAAGACUGACGCUCAGGUGCGAAAGCGUGGGGAGCAAACAGG